GACGAACGCUGGCGGCGUGCUUAACACAUGCAAGUCGAACGGAAAGGCCCUGCUUGCAGGGUACUCGAGUGGCGAACGGGUGAGUAACACGUGGGUGAUCUGCCCUGCACUUCGGGAUAAGCCUGGGAAACUGGGUCUAAUACCGGAUAGGAGCCAUUUUUAGUGUGAUGGUUGGAAAGUUUUUUCGGUGUAGGAUGAGCUCGCGGCCUAUCAGCUUGUUGGUGGGGUAAUGGCCUACCAAGGCGGCGACGGGUAGCCGGCCUGAGAGGGUGGACGGCCACAUUGGGACUGAGAUACGGCCCAGACUCCUACGGGAGGCAGCAGUGGGGAAUAUUGCACCAUGGGCGCAAGCCUGAUGCAGCGACGCCGCGUGGGGGAUGACGGCCUUCGGGUUGUAAACUCCUUUCGCUAGGGACGAAGCUUUUUGUGACGGUACCUAGAGAAGAAGCACCGGCUAACUACGUG
rnacentral:rRNA from 1 species